AUUCAUCCACAAAACCUUGUUUUGACUGUACGAACUUUUCACUACACACUACACACUUUGGUAACUUCCUUACUCUUUCUUCCUUUCCACGUUUUAUUUGCUUUUGCAGUAGCCAUACAAAUAACCAAUUCACUCAUAAACAAAACCCACUUUUCAACUACUUUGUACAUAGACUUAUACUUUUUUUACCAUACAAAAUCACCUCUUUCUAUCUUAAAUCAUAUAUACACUACCUUCACAUCCAUACCAAUCACUAUCAUUCUCAUGACCAUAAUCAUCACCUUUUUCUCACAACAUAAACCAAAUAAAAAUCAGUAUUAA